UACAGAGGGUGCAAGCGUUGUUCGGAAUUACUGGGCGUAAAGCGUGCGUAGACGGUUAUUUAAGUCAGGUGUGAAAGCCCCGGGCUCAACCUGGGAAUUGCAUUUGAGACUGAAUAGCUAGGGUGCGGAAGAGGGAAGCGGAAUUUCCGGUGUAGCGGUGAAAUGCGUAGAUAUCGGAAGGAACACCAGUGGCGAAAGCGGCUUCCUGGUCCAGCACCGACGUCAGGCACGAAAGCGUGGGGAGCAAACAGG
rnacentral:rRNA from 1 species